UUACGUGAAUACAUGUGUGCAGUGCGGGACGUCUGUUCCAAUAUGUUUGUUGACUGUUGUAGUGUGCAUACUGUUGUCACUGUACUCUGUGUGUGUGUGCGCGCUUUUAUGCUUGUGGAUGUCAAACAGUGUGUGCAUGAAGCUGUAUGAAUGCUCGGUCUCUAUUGUGAUACACAGAGACUUAAAGAAUAAAUACAGACCUUUUUUACCACUGUGUUACACAAGUCUUGCGUACCUUGCCUCUAUUCAAACCGUUUGGCAGAAUGGAGUUUCCCUAAGUUAUUCCUAGCGACGAUCAACUGUCCUCAUUGUGUCUUAAACAACAUUUGCGUCGGACUGAUGACGGGAAGAUAAGCUCUACACUCGUCUGACUGACCCGCCGAUAUUCGAUGGACCAGUAAUAGAACAGAACGCCUUCUACUUCACCUGUGACCUGACCUUCGGCGGCAGUAACCCCAAUCAAGCCUUUGAGUUCGUCUCAAAACAUGCAGCAAAAAUGUAUUUGGCUUGUAGAGCAGAAAAUAGAAAAAUGACCUCAUCCACAGUGCCGAAAAAAAAAGUCCAUCAAUCGAUUUUAUAUCACAGCUACCAUCGAUGGCCGUCGAUAUAGCAACGCGGUGAAUGUGACUGUCUACGAACUCAAUCCGAAGGAUAACUCGCAGGUGGCUUGUCGUGCGCGCUCAAUUUUCACUGACCGUGAUGUUUUCAGUCCCUAUAUGGUCAGCAAUAUUAUCUCAAUGGCAGGUCCCUGAUAGCAGGAGAAAAACUGUCACAGUAUGACGUGUCAGGAAGGUUUGAUGAAAGUUCUUUUUUGGAUGCAGUAAUCAGACAACAAAAAUGUUGGAACAUGGAAAGUGUCUUCUGUACGUCAAUGUUAACAAUAAAAAAGGUUGUAAAAA
rnacentral:lncRNA from 1 species